rnacentral:sRNA from 1 species
CUGUUCAUCCAAAAAGUCUCAGUGAUGAAUAU